CCAGUCAGAGUUGGGUAGGAGCUAGAGGGAUUGGAGAGUGGUAAGAAGAGAAAGAUAGGCAAACAAGGAAGGUAGGAAGUAGGUCAGAAAAGUGGUGAAGGGUAAUUAUUAGCUGCUUGCUGUGGAGUCCUUGGACUGGAAGCUAGAGAAGGGAAGGAAGAGGGGUAACUUUCCCUGCUACUUCUCAGGCUGAGGAGAACCUUAACCCUGGAUAUGCAGUCUCUGGAGUUAAGAUCAAGCUUUGCAACCCAUGAGAAGAGGAAGACCACAAACUACAUCACCCAGAGGAUUUCUACUUGUGACUACCAAGAGAAAAGCCUAGGAGGUGAUCCACUAGCAUCCAGAUAUUUCAACUGCAUAAUAAUAAGUACAAGGGGCACAUCUAUUCAGGGCCCUGGCUGAAAAGUGCUUAGUCUGAAGAUUGUUGAGAUCAGUGAGGCAAGAAGACAACUGAAAACGGUCAUCGCUGUCUGGAGACCACCUGAUGCUUCGGAUCUUCAACAGUGACCCUCCAGGUUAAAUUUGAGGGUUCAAGAUGGUCUUCAGUGUUUUUUGGAGGAGUAUCAGGAUAUUUUUAAUCUUCAAAGCUGCUGGGUGAGCUUUUCAACAUGUACUUGCAUCUGUAUCUUGCUAAUAAGUGCUCUUUGUGACUAA